AGAAGCUUAUGAAAAGUUCAAAAGAAGUGCAGUGGGGACUGCAUUGUACAUUCAUCCCUGCCUGUCAGAAAUUUCAGAGGGUGAUGCUGCAGAUAGGGCGAGCAACUUGACAGAUGCCACUGUUGACAGCUUGAUUGAGUCUAUCAUCAUUAAAGAUGGGGUGAAAGCCAAGUUUUUCUUUAACAUUAUGUCUCUUGCUAACUCUGCAGGAGAGAAGUUGCUUGCCUUCAGUCAAUAUAUACUUCCCAUGAAAUUUUUGGAAAGGUUGUUGGUUAAGAGGCUGGGCUGGCAUGUAGGGAAGGAGAUUUUCAUGAUAUCUGGUGAUACUAGUGCAGACGACAGAGAAGUGGCGAUGGAUCAGUUUAACAACUCUGCCGAUGCAAAAGUUUUGUUUGGUUCCAUCAAGGCCUGUGGAGAGGGAAUCUCCCUUGUUGGUGCAUCUCGAGUCAUCAUUCUAGAUGUUCAUUUGAACCCAUCUGUCACCCGUCAAGCAAUCGGACGUGCAUUCAGGCCCGGACAGCAGAAGAAAGUGUUUGUGUACAGGCUUGUUGCUGCUGAUUCUCCAGAGGUGAAGUUCCAUGAAACUGCAUUCAAGAAAGAAGUUAUCCCAAAGCUAUGGUUUGAAUGGAGUGAGCUCUGCACUACUGAAGACUUCAAACUGAAUCAAGUUGAUAUUGAUGACUCUGAAGAUGAACUAUUGGAGGCUAAUGCUAUUCGCCAGGAUAUCAAGGCUUUGUAUAGAAGGUAACAAGUUAUAUGUGGCUGCUGUACACCAUGUACAUAAUGCAAUGCUGAUCUUUCUGGGUGAUCAUCGCUGUGAAGAUGUUACAGUAGCCCCUUCUAAUGCCGGAGUUCCGUUCAUGCUAGGAUUUAUCGUUAACCUCGGUCGUUUCCCUACCUAUUUGAACCACUGUCCGCUUUGUUAACAUGUGCCAGCUUGGCGCAGCGGUUCGCGAGCUGAUCCUAGUCUUAUUUCCUUCUGAAGAUCUCCAGGACUAAUAACUAUGGUUUCUGCCGUUCCUGCUAACAACUUAAAUAAUGCCACUGUUUCCUUACCUGUCUUUUGUGCACUUCAAUUGGUCUUCAAAUUUGCCCUUUUUGAUAGGGUAAAGAUAGUUUCUUUCUGCGCGUAACGGAAUGUAGGUUAUCCGUCGUGCAUUUGUGCAUCUCUUUUAUCUCCUUUGUUGCAGUACCUGGUUUUUGUGUCGACCAUUCUAGUUUCAAUUCUGGCUCCCAUGAAAGAUGCUUUAAGACUCGCAAUGCCAGGAUGCAUACUUUUUUUUUA